AAUCUUUAUCAAUCCACACAUGUGAAUUAAUUCGUUGGCCACCAGUAACAUGGUUGAGAAUUGUACAAUGGCAACGUUGUGCGAUUACUCAGGCGUUGGCGUGCAUUUCUUUGCACGGCGGCGUCGGUCUUAUACUAACCAUCCAACACCAAACCAACAACCAAUGAAAACCCGAGGGCUCAGCUUAGAGCUGUGACUCUCACUAACCAAGACAACUCUCAACAACGGAUAUCUUGGCUCUCAGAUCGAUGAAGAACGCAGCGAAAUGCGAUACGUAGUGUGAAUUGCAGAAAUACGUGAAUCAUCGAAUCUUUGAACGCAAAUUGCGCUCGAGGCUUCGGCCAAGAGCAUGUCUGCCUCAGCGUCGGGUUAAUACUCACUCUAUCUAACCGUAGAGUGGAUCUGGUUGUCCCGGGUGAUUUAAAAACGUCCGGGUCAGCUGAAGUAUGCAGAUGUCAAACCAUGGACCGUUCAACGGGCCUCUACUGGGUAGGCAGUCAAAUGCUAAUGCUUUGUGGAUGGCUUCGGGUGCUGUGUUUGGCUAAAACCAGGAGUAUAACUCUCGUUAUACAAACCCCAUUUUCUCGACCUGAGCUCAGGCAAGA
rnacentral:sRNA from 2 species